rnacentral:rRNA from 1 species
CNACCUGCCGAUGACUCGGGGAUAGCCUUUCGAAAGAAAGAUUAAUACCCGAUGGCAUAGUUCUUCNGCAUGGUGGAACUAUUGAAGAAUUUCGGUCAUCGAUGGGGAUGCGUUCCAUUAGGUUGUUGGCGGGGUAACGGCCCACCAAGCCUUCGAUGGAUAGGGGUUCUGAGAGGAAGGUCCCCCACAUUGGAACUGAGACACGGUCCAAACUCCUACGGGAGGCAGCAGUGAGGAAUAUUGGUCAAUGGACGAGAGUCUGAACCAGCCAAGUAGCGUGAAGGAUGACUGCCCUAUGGGUUGUAAACUUCUUUUAUACGGGAAUAAAGUGAGGCACGUGUGCCUUUUUGUAUGUACCGUAUGAAUAAGGAUCGGCUAACUCCGUGCCAGCAGCCGCGGUAAUACGGAGGAUCCGAGCGUUAUCCGGAUUUAUUGGGUUUAAAGGGAGCGUAGGCGGACGCUUAAGUCAGUUGUGAAAGUUUGCGGCUCAACCGUAAAAUUGCAGUUGAUACUGGGUGUCUUGAGUACAGUAGAGGCAGGCGGAAUUCGUGGUGUAGCGGUGGAAUGCUUAGAUAUCACGAAGAACUCCGAUUG